GCCUUCGUGGUGUAGUGGUCUGCAUGUUCGACGCGUAACCGAGAGGUCCGUGGUUUGAUUCCCGGUGAAGGCG
rnacentral:tRNA from 1 species